GAUGAAGAACGUAUCGAAAUGCGAUAAGUAAUGUGAAUUGCAGAAUUCAGUGAAUCAUCGAAUCUUUGAACGCACCUUGCGCUCCUUGGUAUUCCGAGGAGCAUGCCUGUUUGAGUGUCAUGAAAUUCUCAACCUUUUCAGCUUUCUUUGUUGAUCAGGCUUGGAUGUGGGAGUAUGCGGGCUUCUCAGAAGUCGGCUCUCCUGAAAUGCAUUAGCGGGACCUUUGUUGCCUGGCUUUGGUGUGAUAAUUAUCUACGCCAUUGUGGUCAAGCAGCUUAAAAUGAGGUUUCAGCUUCUAACCGUCUCCCCUGAGACAACUUUUUGACAAUUUGACCUCAAAUCAGGUAGGACUACCCGCUGAACUUAAGCAUAUCAAUAAGCGGAGGA
rnacentral:misc_RNA from 1 species